UGUCUCCUACGGGGGGCAGCAGUGGGGGAUAUUGCACAAUGGGGGAAACCCUGAUGCAGCGACGCCGCGUGGGUGAAGAAGCGCCUCGGCGCGUAAAGCCCUGUCAGCAGGGAAGAAAAUGACGGUACCUGAAGAAGAAGCCCCGGCUAACUACGUGCCAGCAGCCGCGGUAAUACGGAGAAUGCGAGCGUUAUCCGGAUUUAUUGGGUUUAAAGGGUGCGUAGGCGGAAUGCCAAGUCAGCGGUAAAAUCGCGGGGCUCAACCUCGCUCCGCCGUUGAAACUGGCGUUCUUGAGUGGGCGAGAA
rnacentral:rRNA from 1 species